CAGUCGCCGCGGUAAUACGUAGGUGGCAAGCGUUGUCCGGAAUUAUUGGGCGUAAAGGGCUCGCAGGCGGUUUCUUAAGUCUGAUGUGAAAGCCCCCGGCUCAACCGGGGAGGGUCAUUGGAAACUGGGAAACCUGAGUGCAGAAGAGGAGAGUGGAAUUCCACGUGUAGCGGUGAAAUGCGUAGAGAUGUGGAGGAACACCAGUGGCGAAGGCGACUCUCUGGUCUGUAACUGACGCUGAGGAGCGAAAGCGUGAGGAGCGAACAGGAUUAGAUACCCCAGUAGUCCCUGUCUCUUAUAC
rnacentral:rRNA from 1 species